rnacentral:sRNA from 1 species
AUAAGUGUCAUAGCUCAUAUAUGAACUUACUGCUUGCAGGUAAGUUCAUAUAUGAGCUUAUGACACGCUGAAACAUGAGUAUGGAGAGAUUUGCGAAAGCAAAUCUCGAGAAUACGAAUGUUUCAAGGAUUGUGAGAGUUUUAGAAGAAACAGAGCAAUCCGUAU